GAUGAACGCUAGCGGCAGGCUUAAUACAUGCAAGUCGAGGGGCAGCACAGAUAGCAAUAUUGGGUGGCGACCGGCAAACGGGUGCGGAACACGUACACAACCUUCCUUUUAGUGUGGGAUAGCCCAGAGAAAUUUGGAUUAGUACCACAUAGUAUAUUGGAGUGGCAUCACUUUGAUAUUAAAGAUUUAUCGCUAAAAGAUGGGUGUGCGUAUGAUUAGGUAGUUGGUAGAGGUAACGGCUCACCAAGCCUUCGAUCAUUAACUGGUGUGAGAGCAUGACCAGUCACACGGGCACUGAGACACGGGCCCGACUCCUACGGGAGGCAGCAGUAAGGAAUAUUGGUCAAUGGACGGAAGUCUGAACCAGCCAUGCCGCGUGAAGGAUGACGGCCCUCUGGGUUGUAAACCUCUUUUAUGUGGGACGAAAAAGGGCCAUUUUUGGUCAACUGACGGUACCAUAGGAAUAAGCACCGGCUAACUCCGUGCCAGCCGCCGCGGUAA
rnacentral:rRNA from 1 species